CCUACGGGUGGCAGCAGUGGGGAAUAUUGCACAAUGGGGGAAACCCUGAUGCAGCGACGCCGCGUGAGUGAAGAAGUAUUUCUGUAUGUAAAGCUCUAUCAGCAGGGAAGAAAAUGACGGUACCUGACUCAGAAGCCCCGUCUAACUACGUGCCAGCAGCCGCGGUAAUACGGAGGGUGCAAGCGUUAUCCGGAUUUACUGGGUGUAAAGGGAGCGUAGACGGCCAAACAAGUCAGAGGUGAAAGCACAGGGCUCAACCCUGGGACUGCUUUUGAAACUGGCGGGCUUGAGUGCAGGCGAGGUAAGCGGAAUUCCUGGUGUAGCGGUGAAAUGCGUAGAUAUUAGGCGGAACACCAGUGGCGAAGGCGGCUUACUGGACUGUAACUGACGUUGAGGCUCGAAAGCGUGGGGAGCAAACAGGAUUAGAUACCCUUGUAGUC
rnacentral:rRNA from 1 species